ensembl:lncRNA
GACAAUUGUAACCCGUCAGGGGAGCAUGCGUCACCACUCUGCCUCCUGUAGCGGCCUCACUUCACAGCAAAUUGAGCAGAGUUAAAUUUUUGCUGUUGAUGAACAGAGAGUCAAUCUAUCUCUACGCGGAGUUGAUCUAACUCUGUAUGUUGUCUAAUCAAUUAGAUUUCACACUGUACCACGAAAGAGUUGGUGUCAAAAUGGAGCGUUAGAACAGAAAUCAACUCUGAUAGUGUCACCGCUAUGGUGGAACGCACCACUAGGAGUGACUGACCUAGAUCAGAUUGGUCGCUGAUUCGUCUGCCCUUUUGGCGGGAGUUAGGACCCUUCCCUAAACUCUAGUCGAAUGCACAGCAGGUGGAAGGAAGGAUAUUUUGUGAACGUCUUCUAGAAGACUUUUCGCAUUGUGUCGGUAACUAACAGUGUAUUAGAUAACCCAAUGCGUGCUAUUGUUAUAUACAGACGAAAAUACGUAUUUAGACUUUGGUAUGAUGUUUAUAGACACUGCAAGGACGAGUAACAGUAAAGCUAGAGCCGACAAACUAACGUUACCUAAGGUUAACAUUAGCUAACGUUAUCAUUAGCUCCUAAUUAAGUGUCUGGCAAGCUAACGUUAGCUAGCGUUUGUUUUUUCUACUUUCAUAUGGGUUCUGAUUACUGGUCUAUAAGUGAUCUAAAUGGAAAUCUUUGAGUUUGCAAAGUUUGCCCAUGUCAAUUAUGUGACGUUACAUCAGUUAUGUUAACAGUCUUUUGAAUAAGAGAACAGCUAAAAUUAGCUAGCUAAUUAGCUAAAGUUAGACAAGAACCUGCCCCCACACAGCAAAAUCCCGUGUAGAUUUAACACCCAGAGUGCGUCCACAAUUGUCCUCGAGUCCACAAGAAAGAGGAGGAACCCAACAGAGUUAAUGGACCAGAAUGAAGCAAGACAGAUCAACCAGGAUUUCUCCAUGAUGUUUGGUGACGGAGUUUCUCAGAAGUUCCUGACAAAGUGGUCAACAUUCUUCAAGCCAAAAGUCAUUGCAGACUGCAAGACUCUUAAUAUGGGCGAGCUGCUGUCAGGAACUGAACCUGAAUCUGAGGACUACGACGGAUGGGACAGCGACAUGUCCUCAAUCCUUUUGCUGCUGCAUCUGCUCCCUCCAACCUCAAGAGGCCAGAAAAAAACAUCCAAGAUCAGUUCAGCUCAAGCAACCAGCCAUCUUGUGAGAUAUCUUAAGGAUAUUCGGAGGUGAACUGACCAUCUGACGAGACAACUGGACAUCCAGAUAAUCGAUGAGGAAAUUCUUCUUACUCACAGCUCCUAUGUGGACAUUUCCUAAGUUUAAUGCCUUAACCAAUCAGAAUCAUUAACACCACAGCGA